rnacentral:lncRNA from 1 species
ACUGAGAUGGGUGAGGACGCAGCGUCAUGUGUCUGCCAGCCUGCUUUUCAGCUGGACGACGUUUCGCAGCAGCAUUUGCCAAAUUUUUCAUCACACCUCGUAAAGACCCCCGUGAAAGGGGACUUCCGGAACUGCUUCAGACAGUGGACUGCAGCGUGUGGUUCCCCGGAUCACUAUGGUCACAGCGGCCCUGACGUAUGAUUGGGUUACUGAUCAACUACCACGCAGUUGAAAGAAACGUCUCCCCCUCUAACGUUCUACUCGUAAAGCUCUGACUGCGCCUCUGGCACUGAUUAUGCAACAGGAUGCUGUGCCUGUGCCCACAGGGCCUGGAGUAAACGGCGUCUGUGGGAAAUGAGUGUGGAGUUAAUGCUGAAAUUGGUCACAGACUCCUUCCAAAAUUAUACUUGUGAAACAGC